UACAGAGGGGGCAAGCGUUGUUCGGAAUUACUAGGCGUAAAGGGCGCGUAGGCGGCCUGUUAAGUCGAACGUGAAAUCCCCGGGCUCAACCCGGGAACUGCGUCCGAUACUGGUAGGCUUGAAUCCGGGAGAGGGAUGCGGAAUUCCAGGUGUAGCGGUGAAAUGCGUAGAUAUCUGGAGGAACACCGGUGGCGAAGGCGGCAUCCUGGACCGGCAUUGACGCUGAGGCGCGAAAGCCAGGGGAGCAAACGGG
rnacentral:rRNA from 1 species